rnacentral:tRNA from 2 species
GGGUUGUUAGCUCAGUUGGUAGAGCAGCUGACUCUUAAUCAGCGGGUCGAGGGUUCGAACCCCCCACAACCCA